rnacentral:rRNA from 1 species
GCAUAUCAAUAAGCGGAGGAAAAGAAAAUAACAAUGAUUCCCCUAGUAACGGCGAGUGAAGAGGGAUGAGCUCAAAUUUUAAAUCUGUAUAGGUUCUACCUGUCAGAGUUGUAGUUUGAAGAAACGUUUUCGGUGUCUUUGAUUAGCCUAAGUCCUUUGGGAUAAGGUAUCAUGGAGGGUGACAAUCCCGUUCAUGGUUAAUUUUAAAGAUGCUUUAUGAUACGUUUUCCAAGAGUCGAGUUGUUUGGGAAUGCAGCUCAAAAUGGGAGGUAAAUUUCUCCUAAGGCUAAAUAUUGGCGAGAGACCGAUAGCGAACAAGUACCGUGAGGGAAAGAUGAAAAGAACUUUGAAAAGAGAGUUAAAUAGUACGUGAAAUUGUUGAAAGAGAAACGAUUAAAGUCAGUCAUACCGGCGAGAAAUCAACCCUCCUAGUGCGAAUUUGUUGAAUGUGAAGAGUUUCAAAUGAGGCCUUCAUGCUUUGCAAACUUGUGCCUUCUGGGCGUACUUUCUCGAAUGGUAGGUUAACAUCGAUUUUGAACAUCACAAAAUGAUUGGAGGAAUGUAGCCUCGGACUCGUUUCGAAGUGUUAUAGCCUUUGAUAAAUGUAAUGAUCAGGAUCGAGGAUUGCAACGAAUACCCAAUGGGCUAUCCGUCUGAUCUCUGAUACGUUGUCUCGAUGUCGAAAGCUUGCUUAUGAUAUUGAGAUAUUACGGUCAAAAGGUUAGAACGGAAUACAUUCGUUAAGGAUGUUGACGUAAUGGCUUUAAACGAC